AAAUUAUGUUUAUUUUAUAUUUAUAUUUAUAUAUUUAUUUUAGUGUAAAUUAUAAUUAAUUUAAAUAAUUAAUUAUUUAAUUAAAUUUUAAUUUUUAAUUUUAAUAUUUUUAUUAUUAAAUAAAUUUAAAAUUAGUAAUAUAUAUAUAUAUAUAUAUAUAUAUAUAUAUAUAUAUAAUUAUAAAUUAAUAUUGUGCCAGCAAUUGCGGUUAAACUUUAUUAUAAAAUUAAAUAUUGAAUUAAUUAAUAUAAAUAUAUAAUUUAAAAUUUAUUUAAAUAACUUUUAUUUUUAGAUGAAAUUAGUGAAUAAUUUUGUAGUUUUAAUAAUAUUAAUAAAUAUAUAAAAAAAUAAAAUAUAAACUAGGAUUAGAUACCCUAUUAUAAAUUUAAUUAAUAAUUAAUUAUAUUAGUAAUAUGAAAUUUGUGAAAUUUAAAGAAUAUGGCGGUAAAUUAAUCAAUUUAGAGGAAUUUGUAAAUUAAAUGAUAAUCCACGAUUUGUUUUACUUAUAAUUGUUUGUAUAUCGUUGUUAAAAAUUUAUUUGUUUUUUAAUGAUAAUUAAUUUUAAAUAUUUAAUAAAUAUAUCAAAUCAAGAUACAGCUUAUUUAUAAGAAUAUAUAUAUAUAUAUAUAUGAAUUACAGUUAAUAUAUUAAAAAUUAAUUAAUAAAUUUAAAUUUUAUUAAAUUAAAAGGAUUUAAAAGUAAUUUUAUAAAAUUAUUUAAAAUAAAUUUAGUUUUAAUUUAUGUACAUAUUGCCCGUCGCUCUAGAUAAUUAAAAUUUAAUAAUUUUAAGUUUUAGAUAAGUCGUAACAUAGUAGAAGUAUUGGAAAAUGUUUCUA
rnacentral:rRNA from 1 species